CCCACCUCUUCCCUUACUGACUGGUGCAUGCAAUAAAAAUUGCCUCCCCUUACUACUCGCAUCCCACUCCCUUUGCCAAAGAUCAUCAUCUUAUUAACAUCAUUAGGGCACAGGGACUAACCAACUUGGUCACCAUCAUCCACAAGACAGGAAAGCUAGCUACUUUGAACAGUAUUUUGCCACCCCCAUUCUCAGAACCCUCACACUCAGCAAAAUCGACCACACUGUGCACAAUUGCUGGAACCCCCCACCAGUGUUCAAGACACGGAGAUAUUUUGCCUUCAGGUUAGGUCUGCCCAUGGCUGGGCUAGCAUCGUGGAAGUACAAGGACAUAAUGACCUACACCCGCUCCAAGGACACCAUCGCGCGCCUGAGAGCCAGCUAAGACGUGGACCCGCAGCAGGUUGCUGACCCUACCUUUCCUGACAGCAGAGAACAUCCUGAAAGGUUCUCCCUGCGAAUGCACCACCACCCAGCUCCGCCAGCAGUGGAGGUUCAUCGGCACUGUUAAGCAGGUUCUGUGGGAGACAAGGAACAUACUGGGUCUACCAACAACAAACCGUGGAACGAACGACCCUGAGGAGGAGGAUCACCAUCCUUCUCAGGGAUCACUCCAUCACAGAUAUCCACAAAGACCCGGACCAGGCGAAGGUAGUAUGGGGUUGGCAAGAUGGAAGGACAUCCACAUCUAAACCAUCCCCGAGCCGCCUAGACCAAGACAAAUCCCAGACCCGUCCUCCAGUCUUCAGCGUCCAGCCUCACUGCCACAUCACUCCUCUUCCACGCCCCAUGCCACCAACCACUCACCCCGAACCAGCCAAGGCCGAUGGACACAUUCUCUACCCCCCUUCUCUCUCAAUAUUUCUCCCUAUCCCUAACUCCCACUAUCACUCUCACAGAACCGGCACCAGCCCAGAAUCAUGAACCAUCCACCAACACAAGAGGGUGAAGGGGGGACCAAACAUCAGACUUUCACCCAGAGCGAGCAGAACACAGGGAGUGCCAUCAGGGCACCCUUGUGUGUCUGCUUGCUCCUCAGGUUGUCCUUCCUCCCCUCUGCAAAUCCAGCACCAGUCCCAGCACCAAUCCAGAUCCCAUUGGCCAGUCCCAGUACCAGACCAUCAGACAAGGUUGUCCUUCCUCCCCUCUGCAGAUCCAGCACCAGCCCCAGCAUGAAUCCAGAUCCCAGUAACCAGCACCAGCCCCAGCACCAGACGAGGCUCGGAGAAGGAACCAAAGAUUACACCUUUACCCAGAGCGAGCAGGCCACAGGGAAGUACCACCAUUGACCUAGGGCUCCCUUGUGUGUCUGCUUGCUCCUCAGUAUGUCUUUCCUCCCCUCUACAGAUCCCGACCCAAAACCGUCCCCAGUUUCCCGGUUCCUGGUUCCUAUUUCUCCCAGGCCCACUGUCCCAACACCAACCCCUGGUUUUCCAGCUCUGGCACCAGCAUGAUUUCCAACCCGGUCCCAACACCAGCCCAGGUUUUCCCGGUCCUAACCCCAACACCGGGACCAACCCUGGACCUAGCAUCGGCCAACCACAACUGCCACCUUCAUCCAGCAACUGCCAGAUCCACCCUUCCCCCAACGCAAAGACACAAACACAACGUUGACCAACCAUGACUCACUGACUGAUUAACAAAUUGACGGACUGAUAAUUGUUAAAAGUUAUUUGAUUGAAUGCAUUUGUUUUUUAGUUUAUUUUUUUGGUAAUUGUUUGUUUUUCUUUUGAUUUGAUUAUUAACUUAAGUUGGAUUGAUUAUUUAUUGUUUCAAUUGUUUAUUAUUUUGAAGUUUAGCUAAAUAUGAUUUGAAAUUUUAAAAUUUUAAUUUUGGAAUAACAAAAUAAAUUGACCUCUGCCAAAUAUCAAGCCCUAUUGCCCACAUCAGCCUUCUCAUUACCUUCCACACCCUCAUGGGCGGAAACCCAGCAAAAGCUUACCACCACUCCCAUCCUCUCCAAUCCCAUUAACAGCACAAUCAUCUCCACAAACAAGUCUCCCCUAUCUGUCUUCACACUAUUCUUGCAUUGUUGACACCAAUGAUUUAUAUAUACACUAGAUGACUGUAUUGAAGCCACCGUGCCUGCAUCUUGGCACUCCCCCACUGUUGUAAAAAAUAUUUUGGAAGCUAUAGAAAUGGAUUCAUUAAUGUCAAAAUUGUUUUUUUCCCACAUGUAUUAUAUUGCGGACACAUUAAUGCAUUCUUUUUUAAUGAUA